rnacentral:rRNA from 1 species
AUUGAACGCUGGCGGCAGGCCUAACACAUGCAAGUCUAACGAGUGGCGGACGGGUGAGUAAUGUCUGGGAAACUGCCUGAUGGAGGGGGAUAACUACUGGAAACGGUAGCUAAUACCGCAUACCAUCAGAUGUGCCCAGAUGGGAUUAGCUUGUUGGUGGGGUAACGGCUCACCAAGGCGACGAUCCCUCGCUGGUCUGAGAGGAUGACCAGCCACACUGGAACUGAGACACGGUCCAGACUCCUACGGGAGGCAGCAGUGGGGAAUAUUGCACAAUGGGCGAAAGCCUGAUGCAGCCAUGCCGCGUGUGUGAAGAAGGUCUUCGGGUUGUAAAGUACUUUAAGUGGGGAGGCGUUACCCACAGAAGAAGCACCGGCUAACUCCGUGCCAGCAGACGCGGUAAUAC